rnacentral:tmRNA from 1 species
GGGGAUGUUCUGGUUUUGACAGCAAGGAGAAUUAGGACGUAAGCAUGUCGAGCGUUGAGAUGGUGGCUCGUAAAUCCCAACACUCAAGCCAUAACUGGCGAAAAUAACUAUGCACUCGCUGCUUAAUAUGCCAAGCAUAUUAACUUAAUCAGGUAGCCCAAGGUUGGUUAUCAGACGAGAAUCCCGCGGGUAGCUCUGCCUUUUAGCUAUUUUGCAAUGGGGUUUCAUUAAAAAAGGAUAGUACAAACUUAUGCCUUUACGUUUGUGCGAAAUUUUAAAGGAUAAGGAGUAUUUUUGGUUGUUUUCUACCUGAAAUAUUCUCGAAAAUUAAAAGAAAAAUAAGCAUGUAGAAAGCGUAUUGGUUACUUGUUUGGACGCGGGUUCGACUCCCGCCAUCUCCACUU